rnacentral:rRNA from 1 species
UACGUAGGGUGCGAGCGUUUUCCGGAAUUACUGGGCGUAAAGGGCUCGUAGGUGGCCAACUAAGUCAGACGUGAAAUCCCUCAGCUUAACUGGGGAACUGCGUCUGAUACUGGAUGGCUUGAGAUUGGGAGAGGGAUGCGGAAUUCCAGGUGUAGCGGUGAAAUGCGUAGAUAUCGUAAGGAAGACCAGUGGCGAAGGCGGGUCUCUGGACAGUUCCUGACGCUGAGGCACGAAGGUCAGGGGAGCAAACGGG